CCUACGGGAGGCAGCAGUGAGGAAUAUUGGUCAAUGGACGAGAGUCUGAACCAGCCAAGCAGCGUGAAGGAUGACUGCCCUAUGGGUUGUAAACUUCUUUUAUAUGGGAAUAAAAUGUUCCACGUGUGGGAUUUUGUAUGUACCAUAUGAAUACGGAUCGGCUAACUCCGUGCCAGCAGCCGCGGUAAUACGGAGGACCCGAGCGUUAUCCGGAUUUAUUGGGUGUAAAGGGAGCGUAGGUGGAUUGUUAAGUCAGUUGUGAAAGUUUGCGGCCCAACCGUAAAAUUGCAGUUGAAACUGGAAGUCUUGAGUACGGUAGAGGUGGGCGGAAUUCGUGGUGUAGCGGUGAAAUGCUUAGAUAUCACGAAGAACUCCGAUUGCGAAGGCAGCUCACUGGACUGCAACUGACACUGAGGCUCGAAAGUGUGGGUAUCAAACAGGAUUAGAUACCCGAGUAGUC
rnacentral:rRNA from 1 species